rnacentral:misc_RNA from 1 species
UACGGAGGGUGCAAGCGUUGUCCGGAUUUAUUGGGUUUAAAGGGUGCGUAGGCGGGAGAUUAAGUCAGUGGUGAAAGACUCCGGCUCAACUGUCGAACCGCCAUUGAUACUGGUAACCUUGAGUAUAGUUGAGGCAGGCGGAAUUUACGAUGUAGCGGUGAAAUGCAUAGAUAUCGUAAAGAACACCUAUAGCGUAGGCAGCUUGCUAAACUAUAACUGACGCUGAGGCACGAAAGCAUGGGUAGCGAACAGG